ACGGGCUCCUUAUUGGUCUGCAGAUUCUACAGAUGGUUGAUGAAUCCUCUUCCCCUGUCUUCUCCCUUGGCCUGCCUCCUGUGUCCCAGGACUUGGAAGGCAGUUUGGAAGAGUAGCUGUACUGAGAACGGGACACAGAGUGCCCAUGGAAACACCAGGCGCCAAGUCAAAGGUGGGAGCUGAGGCUUGGCAGUACCUCCACGCCCUGAGAGCCUGUGUGGUAGUGUUGCUUGGAGACCCAGUCAGGCAGGAGCCAGUUUCUCCUCUGUGGUGGCCACACAUUGACUGUGGGUUCGCUGUAACUCUAGGCACUGUUUGGGCAUGGAAAACAGCCUAAGUCCUAGGAUGGAAAAACAACCACUGUUUUGGUGUCCGGACUCCUCUCUGUUGUUCUCGUCCUUGAGAAAGGCAACUUUCUCUGAAUGUACAAACUGUGGUGAGUGACCAUUCACUUUUCUCCACGGAAAAGACAUCCCAUCACUGUUUUGUUGUUGAACAGUACUAGAUCAUUCUAUAUUA